UAUCAAAAUAAUCCUCUUUAUUAUCAGAAUAACUCUGUUGUUGGAUAUUGGAAAAUUUUGCUUUUAUUCCAUUAAAUAUUUUUUAUCUUUUGUUUGAUUUUUGAGGUUUCAUUGCUAACCAUUUGUAGUUUGAUAAGUAAUUUCGCUGUUUGUUUCAGUUUUGCCUAAUUUGGUGCAAAUUUGGGCUUUUUAAAUGCAAAAAAUUAGGAUAUUGCAGUUUUGUUUUCUGUUAGUAACAUAUCUGUUGGAGUAUUAGCUGUGCUUUUUGCCUUUCGGAGCGAAGAUUUCUCUAUGGAUGACUGUAAUUUCAUAAAAAUGGCGGUCUUCCUGGGUUUGGGUGUGGCAGGUCGUGUUUUGUGCUUAAGCUAGCUGUGUUUGAGGUUUUCUGAACCUGUUAUCCAUAAUCAAAGAUGUCUUCAACUGUUCAAUUGGAUCAUCCUGAUGAACUAGACCCUCCUGAACAAGUGUGAUAAAGCAACAAUGAUACUUCGGGAAGGCCACCAGUAUCUCAAGGUUCAAAUUGCUCCAAACUAUGGGUUUGGAAUCAUGUCAACCGUGCAGGGGGUUCACCUUUGGCAGAUUGAAGGAUGUGAAACACAAAACAGGAUGUGUCUCGUCUUUCAGGCUUUGUCGGUGAGAAACCUACGGCUUCAUCAAGUCCAAGUCCACCGAUAUAGAAUUCUGUAGCUGCUUCUCCAUGGCCAGUGGUUUUCAGGCCACAAUUUCCUCCUAGCUAUUUCCCAUAUGGACAAUUACUUUAACAGCCACAACGGACUCCCUAAACAGCCAUCAACUGACGAUGCAUAUCUUAUACCCGCUGCUACUGCACCUGAUGUGAACUGUGAAGUUCCGACCAGUCGUGUUUGGUCAAAGCUCCAGUAGGUAGCCACUCCCUUCUCAGGGAACCAUACAUGAGACUUCCUCUUCAACAAUUCAAGCCAGAAUGCAGCCUUUAUAUGGUUCGCAUGGUUCCUCCUCUAUUAGAGCUCUGCCAGCAAUGAGGAUCUAUCAGCCUCUCAGUUUGAAGGAAAGCCAAAUCGACACGACAAGGCCACUGAAUGAAAUAGUUCAGCGUGGAUUCUCUACCCGGACAGGAGUUAUCCAGCUUGUGUCUUAAUAAUCCUUUGUACCACAUCACCCCUCAGGAACAGCACCUUACAUUCUCCCAUGCACAGGCUGGUCGUGGCCCAUUUCCUGGAAUUUAUUCCCCAGUGCAGACAAUAGUUGCUCCUCCUCCCGCAACUGUUAAUAAACAUCUGCAACGACCUCAGGCUGUUGACACUGCAUGACACCCAUCCACUGUUUAUCAAUAGACCAGUUAUUAAGUCAUUGGUACACUUCUAGAUUUUCUAUAUCCCUACAGAGUUCUUAUGAUUAGUUUUCUAUACCAUUUAUGUGGUUUCCAGUAACUCUCAUGUCCAUAGAAUCUCAGAAUAUCCAUCAUCAAGUUCAAGUUAACAUAAAUGAUACUCCUGGGGACUGAAAAUUCAUAGCUGGUAGUAUGCAUUUCAUAUUGGAUGAUAUUUUGCACGAAAGACAAAAUAUUGUUUUUACCUAUAACAUUUUUUUUAUUAGCCAUUUUAAUUUGAGAAUAAUAAAAUUCAAUUGAGU